GGCACUGGGCAGCACUGGUUGCCGCAGGGCAGCCCCCCCCCCAGCAGCCGCCCCCGCCGCAGCGUGUCUGGUCGGUGACUCACGGCCGGGCCGGGGGCCACACGUGUGCCGAGCGCGGGGCUCAGCACGGCCACGUGGCCCAACCCGGUCACCGUGGGGCCCGGGGAGCCUGCGGGAUCCUGCCGGGGCCUGGCGCGGUGCUGGGCCGGUAGGAACGGGGCACGCGGUGCCGUGAGGCCUGUCCGAAGUGGCUCUGGGUGACGGGGACAGCCCGGUGCCACACGCUCGGUGGCCUUGGCGUGGCCGUGCCGUGCCCGUGCGGUGCCGGUGCUGGGUCCCGUGCCGGUGCCGCGCUGGUUCCUGCACAGAGCUGGUGCCGAGGCAGUGCCAGGGCCAACCGGUGCUGGUGCUGCACGGUGCCAACACCGGUGCCGAGGCAGCACGGCUCCUGCGUGGUGCCAGUGCCAUGCCGUGCCAACGGUGUGAGUGCCGGCUGUGGGGCCAGGAGGUGCCAAUACGGUGCCGGUGCCGGUGCCGUGCGGAGCCAAAGCAGUGCCGUGCCCACGCAGUGCCAGUGCCGGUGCCACACAGUGCCAGUGCCGUGCCAAUGCGGUGCCAACUCCGUGCUGGUGCUGUGUGGUGCCGGUGUGGUGCCGUGCCGUCCCAGCGCGGUGCCGGUGCCGUUCCCGUGCCAAGGUGAUGCCAACACGGUGCCGGUGCCGUGCCAACGCAGUGCCAACUCAGUGCCAACGAGGUGCUGUUGCCAUUCCCGUGCCAUGCUGUGCCGUGCCAACGCGGUGCCGGUGCCAUUCCCGUGCCAAGGUGAUGCCAACGCGGUGCCGGUGCCGGUGCCAUCCCCGUGCCAACGCGGUGCCAACGCGGUGCCGGUGCCGUUCCCGCCCCCCCCCCCAACCCUCCCCAAAUCCCCUCCCGGUGCCGCCCCCAGCCCGCCCCCGCCCCUCCCCUGCCCUCCCCCGGUGCUCGGCGGGGCCGUGCCGGUGCUCGGCGGCGGCGGCGGCGGCGAUGGCGCUGUCGGGGCCGCCCCGUUCCUGCCUCCUGCUGGCGGCCGCGCUGCUGCUGCCGCUGCCCGGGGCCGCCCCGGACCCCGCCGCGCCCGCGCUCACCGACGCCGAGAUCGAGGCGUUCCUCAGGGGCUUCCUCGGGCCCGACGGGGACCGCGACGGCGACGGCGACGGGGACGGGGACGGGGAUGGCACCGAGCCGGGCUUCGCCACCGAGCAGGGCACCGGCACCGGGCUGAGCACCGGUGAGGGGGGGGGCUGCUGGGGCUGCCCGGUACCGGGAGGGAGCGGGAUUGGGGAGGGAUUGGGGAGGGGGAGGCACGGGGGGCGCAGUGAUGGGGGGCACUGGGGGGUGCUGGGCUGGGGGUGCUGGGUUGGGAGUGCCCGGCCGGGGCUGUCCUGUCCCUACCCACUCCCCCCGACACGACCCGGCCCCCCCCAGACCCUCCGGGGCGGCUGCCGGAGCCCGAGGCACCCAAGAAGGGCCGGAAGGAAAAAGCCCCAAAACCCACCAAAAAGCCCAAGGAGAGAGCACGGGGCUCCAAAAAGGACAAGGACAGGGACAGGGACAAGGAGCGGGACAAGAGCAGGGACAAGAGCAAGGACGGGGACAAGCCCCCCAAGAAGCCCAAGGAGAAGACCCCAAAAGGCUCCGAGAAACCCCCAAAAGGCUCCGAGAAACCCCCAAAAGGAUCCAAGAAGCCCAAGGAGAAGCCGCCCAAGGAGAAGCCACCCAAGGAGAAGCCACCCAAGGCCACCAAGAAGCCCUCGGGCACGAGGCCCCCGGAGCCACCGGACACCCCCUGGGAGCCCCCCGUGGCCCCGCACCCCCCGCGGGGCGAGGACAGAGAGGGGACGUCCCUGUCCCCAGGGCAGCCGCGGGUCCCUGAGGAGGAGGAGGAGGAUGGCAGAGACCGAGAGGUCCCCGCGGAGCCGGAGCCGCCGACGCUGGACUACAACGAGCAGCUGGAGCGGGAGGACUACGAGGACUGUACGGUGCCGGGGGGGGCAGGCGGGGACCGAUGGGGUCCCCUGG
rnacentral:lncRNA from 1 species